GGGCUCUUAGCUCAGCUGGUUCAGAGCACUUGCCUUACAAGCAAGGGGUCACUGGUUCGAACCCAGUAGGGCCCA
rnacentral:tRNA from 1 species